CAUUAACGCUAGCGGCAGGCAUAAUACAUGCAAGUUGAACGGGAUUAGUUUAGCAAUAGACUAUGAGAGUGGCGCACGGGUGCGUAACACGUAUGCAACCUGCCCUUGACUGGAAAAUAGCCUCUCGAAAGAGAGAUUAAUGUUCCAUAACAUAAUGAUAGAGCAUUCUAUUAUUAUCAAAGCUCCGGCGGUCAAGGAUGGGCAUGCGGUUGAUUAGCUAGUUGGUGAGGUAACGGCUCACCAAGGCGACGAUCAAUAGGGGGUCUGAGAGGAUGUCCCCCCACACUGGUACUGAGACACGGACCAGACUCCUACGGGAGGCAGCAGUAGGGAAUAUUGGUCAAUGGAGGCAACUCUGAACCAGCCAUGCCGCGUGCAGGAAGACUGCCCUAUGGGUUGUAAACUGCUUUUGUACGGGAAGAAACCUUCGAAUGCGUUCGAAGUUGACGGUACCGUGAGAAUAAGGAUCGGCUAACUUCGUGCCAGCCGCCGCAGUAAGAC
rnacentral:rRNA from 1 species